rnacentral:rRNA from 1 species
UACGGAAGGCAGCAGUGGGGAAUAUUGGACAAUGGGCGAAAGCCUGAUCCAGCCAUGCCGCAUGAGUGAAGAAGGCCUUCGGGUUGUAAAGCUCUUUUAGUGAGAAAGAUAAUGACGGUACUCACAGAAGAAGUCCUGGCUAACUCCGUGCCAGCAGCCGCGGUAAUACGGAGAGGGCUAGCGUUAUUCGGAAUUAUUGGGCGUAAAGAGCGCGUAGGCUGAUUAGUAAGUUAAAAGUGAAAUCCCAAAGCUUAACUUUGGAAUUGCUUUUUAAAACUGCUAGUCUAGAGAUUUGAAAGAGGAUAGAGGAAUUCCUAGUGUAGAGGUGAAAUUCGUAAAUAUUAGGAGGAACACCAGUGGCGAAGGCGUCUAUCUGGUUCAAAUCUGACGCUGAGGCGCGAAGGGCGUGGGGAGCAAACAGGGAUUAGAUACCC